ensembl:lncRNA
GUUUGGCAAUGGUUGCAGUAGCAAUAAACGAAGGUCACCACUGAAUCACAUUUAGUCUUAUAUUGUCUUUUUUUCUUACAGGUGCAUCAGGUGCAACUAUUCUGAGAAAAUUCUCCAGAAAACAAAUUGGAGCUAAGUAUAGCCGUAAUGACCCAAACAGCUCUUGGUAGGUGAAGUUUGAAACACAAUUGUGAUUUCAAUGUGAAAAC